rnacentral:sRNA from 1 species
GUGUUGAUUUACAUUUCAUCUCCUUUUCCUUAGUCUGUCCAUGUGAAUGUGCUGUGUGGAAGAGUUAAAGGGCCCAACUAAAUGUUCCAGUGAUUCCAAUAGGUAUUCCAAAUUAAUUGCUGCUUGUACAUUUAAUAGUUAUGUUAGGCUUCCAGAAUCACUUUAAAUAGGACUCUUUUUAAAAGAUGGGGGAAGAGAGUAAUUGGUAACCAGAUGGACAGAGUCUCUAUAACAGAAAAAAAAGGGUGUUUUCUCUUGCAUAUCUGAGGUGAAGUGUGUAUUCUGUGUGCUCUUAGCAAUUGGCAGUCCUCUUGCUUAGGUUUACAGGUGUAUGUGAAAAUAGACCUGAGUCUUUUCAAAGUUAGAUCAUUUUUCUGAUUUCAUCUUUAACUUUUGGCAAUACAUUUGUUUUGAUAUCCACCCUACUUGGUAGAGUGUAAGUACUUCCUUACAAUGUUCUAAUGUAAAACAGUGCAUAGGAGACCUUUCUGUCCUUGGUUGCCCAAAAUCUUUUUCAUUUCUACUAAAUUCAGAAAUACAUAUUUUUACUAGCUUAUGAAAGUUUGGAAAAUAGCUUGACAUCCUUUUGGAUAAUGAAGUGAUUAGUUCAUAUAUUGAAGUAUAUAAAAUAACUAGGAAGUAAAUUCAAGACUGAAGGAAUGGGAGAGCUUGUGUGAGUUUUGGUUGUAUCAGUCCAGAAUAUGUAAUUUUCCAUUUCCCUGAAAAAGACUUCAGAGGAAAUUUAUUUUCCCCACUAUACGCUCCAGAAUGUCUUUAGGUGAAAUGAGAGGGCUUGGGCUCUUCUGAUUCUAGACGUAGCUAUCAGAGUUUGCUUAAUGAAAUAUGGGUCUACUCACAAAUAAAGCAAUUUAAUGGUUUCGAAAGAGUAGGCAACUUGUGGUUUCAUUACCAUUUCUGUUCAUUUGAGAAAAAUCAUAAAAUUACAGAAAAGGAAACAUUCAUUUCAAAAAUAAGCUUUGAAUUUAGAUGGUAAGGCAUAUAUGUUUUAUUUCACAUGACUUCAGGGUAGAAGUCAAAUGAAACAUUUCUAUGGAAACUUACCCUUUAAGAAACCAGUAUAUGCAAAGAAUGAUUGAUACCCCCUGAGGGUGUGCCAUAUAAUAGGUGACUAAUAACAUACAGGAUUUAAUUCUUAGAAGAAUUAAGAACAGAUAUCACCCAUUACAUUGACCUACAUUUUAAAGUGAACAAUAGAAACCUCUCUCAGAAUUAGUAUCUGCCUAUUAAUGUAAUCAGUGUAGCCUUCUCAACAUAAAAAUGUCCUUAUUCUAGAACAUGGAAGUGUACGGCAAAUGCAACGGUUGAAAGCACUGAAAAAUAUUUGUAAAACAUCUGUAGUGCUCACAUUAUGAACUUUAAAUGUAAUACUUUGAAAACCAUCUUCAUAAUUUUUUUGUUCUAACAGCUUCCUUUUUAAGAAAACAUUUUAAAACAUUUUAAAAUGGAACUUAAUGUGCAAAAUAAGUUGUGUAAAAUACCAGUAUUUGGGUGGUGGAGGAUAUUGGUAUAUUAUAUUGACCUGGGUUGAUGACUACUGGACUAUUUUAAGAUACCUACUUCCAAAACUUAUUUUAUUCUAGAGGACCACUAAAAAUCAGAAUUACAGCAAUCAUUUUAAUUUUUCUACUUUCCUUGUUAAGGUCUUCUGCUUACCCAAAGAAUAGUGUAUAUCUUAACAUGACUUUUAAAGGGGUAUCUUGAUCCCCAUCACAGAUUUUUAUCUAUGAAUAGAAGGAUUGAAACCCUAUUUGAUCCCUAGCUCUUUGCUGAAAAGUGCAUAAACAGGAAUCCUGAAUUUAUUAUAUAGACCUCCUCGCAUUAUAUAAUCGAAGCAAAGGGAAACCAGCGAUGGAGUAGAGGUACGUAGACUAAAGAGAUGCUUGCAAAUGAUGGUACCUAGGGAUAGUCACAUUUUCUUGUUGCCAAACUCAGACAAUAUAAUCACAAGUCCAGAGAAGAGCUAGUUAAUUUUAAAUUCCCCGAGGUCCUUUUACUGAGAUGGAAAAGCACAAACAGUCAAGGAAAACCAAAGAGGGAGGGGUGAGGGAAGGGGAAAGUGCAUAAAGCACUUAAAGAUUUUUUAAAAGUAGGUAUGAUAGAUAAGCCACAAGAAGUUUUUAAGACUACUAAUAACCAUAAUUCUAUUUUAAUCAGCUAUUUAGCUGGUACCUACUGCUAUAUCACCUAGUGUGACAUUUCGGAAUUAAUGGAACAAUGAAGGAAGCUGUACACUGGAGGUUCCAGGUGGUCAUGGAAGGUAGGUUACUCUUAAAGUUUGAAAUUGUAAAGUGUGAAAGUCUGGAUGAGAGGGGAAGGGGAACCUGGACUAUUUUUAAUUUUUUUUGAGACGAGUCUGGCUCUGUCGCCGAGGCUGGAGUUGCAGUGAGCCGAGAUCACGCCAUUGUACUCCAGCCUGGGCGACGAGAGUGAAACUCCAUCUCAAGAGAGAAAAAAAAAGGUCAUAGUGCAUUGAAGGUUUGGCAAAAAACUAAAUAGUUUGGACGUGAAGUUGGAUGGUAGGGUAGACAUUGAUAGGAGAGACUGGAAGUUCUACCAGUCUCUCCUUAUUGAGGGUGGGUGUUACAGACUUUGGUAAUUUAUUAAUACACUUGUAAAAUCUUAAUAGCAUAAGAAUAAAAAUUAUUAGUGAUCAUGCAAAUACAUGAAACAUUUAAAAAAUAAUCCAACCAAAUAUGUUACAACUUUGUUUUUAUCCAGGUUUCCAGUUUAUGCAAACUUCUGUGAAAAUGAGCUUUGUUAUUGGUGAAGACAUUGGAAAUUUUACCAGCCAAGACAGAGUUUCUCUCUUAUUCAGGGUAAGAUGUAAUUGCAGUGUGCUAGCGCUGGAAGGGACCUGUUUUACAUGUUAUGUAUGUUACACGUCAGCCCUCCAUGUCCUCCAGUUCUGCAUCCUUGGAUUCAACCAACUGUGGGUUGAAAAUACUGGAGGUAAAAAGACAAAAAAUAACAAUGAAGCAACAACAACAAAAAUACACAGUAUAAUAAUUAUAUUUACAUAGCAUUUAUUUUGUAUUAGACAUUAUAAGUAAUCUAGAGAUGAUUUAAAGUAUAUGGGAGAAUGUAUGUAGAUUAUAUGGAAAUAUGAGGGUAUUUUAUUUAAAGGGACUUGGGCCUGUGGAUACCAAGGAAUAACUAAGGUAAAACUGAGCAUAAGUGGCCUGUCCACAUUUUGUUAAAUAUCAGAUUAUUGAUUAGUGAUCAUCAACAUUUUCCCGCAUUCAUGCAGUGUGGCCUCUGAAAACAUGGUUGAACAUCCUAUGGAAUUUUUUUUUUUUUUGGAGAUGGAGUCUCACUCUGUCACCUAGGCUAGAGUGCAAUGGCGCGAUCUUGGCUUACUGCAACCUCCGCCUGCCCCACCUCAGGUUCAAGUGAUUGUCCUGCCUCAGCCUCCUGAGUAAUUUUUGUAUUUUUAGACGAGACAGGGUUUCACCCUGUUGGCCAGGCUGGUCUCAAACUCCUAACCUCAGGUGAUCCAACUGCCUCGGCCUCCCAAAGUGCUGGGAUUACAGGUAUGAGCCACCGUGCCCGGCAGAAUUUUUUAACUAUUUGGUUACGACUAAUUUGAAUAAUGUAGACUGCAUGCAGCUUUGAUUUGUGCCACUAAGAGUGGGCAAACUGUUUUCCUUUUUGUGAAUCAGUAAAAAUUUUCCCUCAACAUGUGUUUGACAGUUGUCAUUCACUGCUAAGUUAAGGCAUUUGGUAAACCACACAGCCUCUGAAUCCUUCCUAGCGACAGCCACAAGAAAAGGUGGGCAUGGGAGGGAAAAUGCUCUUGUGAAUUGAACUGGAGGCAAGCUCCACUUUUCUUUAGAAAAAGAUGUAGAUCAAAAUAACUAAUAUUUUCUUCCUUGCUCGAUUUCUGUGCCUUCCAUGGUACAUCAAAAUAAUAGGACCAGUAAUGGCCACAAUCCUGUUGACUGCUGGUAUCUUCCCCCCAAUAUUUCUUUAAGCAUUUCUUAAGCAUCUAGCUUGUGUUUUGUUAUAUUUAACAGAUUUUCUUAAAGUAUUGUACGAAUUAAAACCAGAAAUAACUUCAUUUUCCUAGAAAGGGAUAAUUUCUCCCGGAGAAUAAAUCCUGAGGAUUUAGUUAGAUGCUGUGGGUAUUGUAUUUUAAAUAAUAUUUUAAUGGGAGCAGCUGAUUGACUUUCAAAUGGAUUGUUUACAUUAAUAGUAAUUCUGCAGUUGUUUUUCUAUUGCAUCAGUCUGCCAGACAAGUUCCAUGUGCAUAUUUAAAUUCAGAA